rnacentral:snRNA from 1 species
AUACUUACCUGGCAGGGGAGAUACCAUGAUCACGAGGGUGGUUUUCCCAGGGCGAGGCUUAUCCAUUGCACUCCGGAUGUGCUGACCCCUGCGAUUUCCCCAAAUGUGGGAAACUCGACUGCAUAAUUUGUGAUAGUGGGGGACUGCGUUCGCGCUUUCCCCUG